UAUAUGUAGUUGCGAUUACUCUAUACAUGUUUCUAGCCAAUUAUUUUGCGCAGGAUGUCACGGAUCAUAAUAAUGACAUCUUUGCUACUGUAUGUGACGUUCAAUGGUAUGCAGUUCCGUUACAUAUACAAAAACUGAUAUUAUUUCUGCUGCAAAGAAGUUCCAAAGAUUUUACUUUAUGUAUCGGUGGAUUAUUUGUUGCAUCUUUGGAAUGUUUUGCCACGCUAUUGAAAACUUCAUUUUCU